ensembl:snRNA U1 U1 spliceosomal RNA
GUACUUACCUUACAGGGGGAGACACCAUGUUCAAGAAGGUGGUUUUCCCAGGGUAAGGCUUACAUAUUGCACCAUAGAUGCACUCACCCUGUUAUUUCCCCAAAUGAGGGAACCUCAGCUGCGUAAUUUGUAGCAUGCAUGACUGUGUUAACACUCUUCCCUU